rnacentral:lncRNA from 10 species
UGAUUGUCUGCGUGGUCAUGUUGGUUCUCUGAUCUUCAGUUCCCAUGGGGGUAACGCAAGUGGGCAUAGAUUGAUGUCUGCACACACAGUAGGCUGCAUUACAAGAGAAGGACACUGGCCCUCGGAAACUUACUGGUUCAUUGCACCCUAUAAAUAAGCCUGGUUUUUGUCCCAGGGGGAAACAUUACCUCAUCCCAUUGAGGUUGCAAACAGAAACCUGAGGAAUGGCACUGGUAGAGUGGUCAGGUCCUUGCAUUUCUGGUCAAACUCAACAAAAAGAAUAAUUAGCCCAUGGAAGACUCUUCCAAUAGAAACUUUCAGAGAAGGUAUGGCCAGAAUAUCAACUGAUGCAAGAAGCCUCUAGAGUUCAGAACAACAUCCAGCCAAAAGCCAGCAAGAAACGGAGACCUUGGUACUGUAAGCACAUGGAACUGAAUUCUGCCAACCACCUAAAUGAGCUUGGAAGUAUAUUUUUCCUCUGGAAUCUCCAGAAAAACCAAUGGACAUGGAAGCGUCAUCGAUGACACGACACGUAACUACUUUCAGCCUCAUUUCAGCGUCAUCGAUGACACGACACAUAACUACUUUCAGCCUCAUUUCAGCGUCAUCGAUGACAUGACACAUAACUACUUUCAGCCUCUAAAGAACUGACAGCAGCUAAGGAUAAUUUCUAAUGCCACAAGCUCAGGAUGGAUUUGACAAAGGAACUGCUCUGGAGAAAUAUAAUUUUUAAAGUACUGACCUUAUACUAAAAAGAAAAUAUUUGAGAAGCAAGUGGAAGAGAAUAAAAUAUUAGGGUUUGGCACUUCUGUAAGUGAGCCUAUGUGUGUGGGAAAAGUGAAGGGAUUAAAUAUAAGACCUGAAUUCCCCAUAUUUCAACUUGGAGUUGUUUAAAUUUUUUCAAACAUGUUUUUACAUUUAAAACAAAAACACCAUAAUAAUUAGAGAUAAUUAGAGAUAGUUUUUCAGUUUGCAUGACCCUGCCCAACAAGAGUCGGUCUUCACAAUCAAUUUGACCAGCAAAGUGCUCUACACCAUUUCCAAAUGCUUUUCUGUGGGCCAGUGCCAGCCUCAGUUGAGAAAUGCUAGACCAGGAGGACCAAAUUUAUUCCCCUUCUUCAAUUCCGAGCAAAAAGCAGAGUAACAGCAUGAGAACUUGGCACAGGCAGAUAAUGAUGAAGAGGAGAAAGAAUUAAUGAGGUUUAUUUAUGUACAUAGAAAUAAAUACCAUUAUGCCAAAAGUCAUAGUGUAUCAGACUUGCAGAAUUAAAAUUAAAUUGACAAACACAAAAUAUUGUAUUUUCAAAAAAAUGUUAAAUCUUACAGGUCAUUUUUUUCUUAAAGCUAAGUAGUGUGUGGCUAAUCCGAUGAAAGGACUGAAGGAUUAAUCACAUUUUGUGGUGUUAUAUUUGAUUUUGACUCAGUAAAGCUAUGUUUUGGGCAAAUAGCCAAUUGAGAAGCAAUUAUUAGACAUACAUUAGAAGCCUAAAAUAAUGCUGGUAUGAUAAAGUUAAGCUAAUGCCUAUGUUGCAAAGAGCUUUAAAGUGGAGUUUAACAGUCCCUAGAAUUUGUGGGAAUCAAAAAUUUCUAGUAAUGUAGCAUUUAACUAUAUACAAAGUAAAGUGGGA